rnacentral:rRNA from 1 species
GCCAAAAAGCUAGCUUAAAAACUAAGAAUAACAAAACAACAUUAUUAUAUCUUAUUUUACCCAAACAAAUAAAAUAAACCAUUCUCCUGCCUCAGUACGGGCGACAGAAAAGGCACACCCCCUAAGCAAUAGAAAAAGUACCGUAAGGGAAGGCUGAAAAAGAAAUGAAACAACCCAUUUAAGCAUAAAAAAGCAGAGACUAAACCUCGUACCUUUUGCAUCAUGAUUUAGCCAGUACCUCUGAGCAAAGUGCCCUUUAGUUCAAAGCCCCGAAACCAAGCGAGCUACCUCGAGACAGCCUAAAUAGGGCCAACCCGUCUCUGUGGCAAAAGAGUGGGAAGAUCCCCAGGUAGCGGUGACAGACCUACCGAGCUUGGUGAUAGCUGGUUGCCUAAGAAUUGGAUAGAAGUUCAGCCUCGUACUCCUCACCCCAUAAAACACAAACAUUACGGACACGAGAAACAUACGAGAGUUAAUCAAAGGGGGUACAGCCCCUAUGAAACAGGACACAACCUUACCAGGAGGUUAAAGACCACACACACUAAAACAACUGCUCCGGUGGGCCUAAAAGCAGCCACCCGUAUAGAAAGCGUUAAAGCCCAGGCAGAAAAAAGUUCAUUAUUCAGGUAUUUUAUCCAAAACCCCUAACCAUACUAGGCCCCUCCAUGCUAACAUGGAAGAGACCCUGCUAAAAUGAGUAACAAGAAGAAAACUUCUUCUCCCGACCCAAGUGUCAGCUAGAUCGGACCAACCACUAGCAAUUAACGAACCCAACCAAAGAGGGCACUGUGACCUUAACAAAAAACAAGAAAACCCCACAUACAAAUAAUCGUUAACCCCACACUGGAGCGCCAUAAGGAAAGACUAAAAGAAAAGAAAGGAACUCGGCAAACACAAGCCUCGCCUGUUUACCAAAAACAUCGCCUCCCGCAAAACUCAAUGUAUAGGAGGUCCUGCCUGCCCAGUGACUGUUAGUUCAACGGCCGCGGUAUUUUGACCGUGCAAAGGUAGCGCAAUCACUUGUCUUUUAAAUGAAGACCUGUAUGAAUGGCAAAACGAGGGCUUAACUGUCUCCCUUUUCCAGUCAGUGAAAUUGAUCUACCCGUGCAGAAGCGGGUAUAAAAAUACAAGACGAGAAGACCCUUUGGAGCUUAAGACCUAAACCACCUAUGUUAAUAAACUUAAUAAACUAGCUUAAACUAAAUAGCACUGGCCCAAGUCUUCGGUUGGGGUGACCGCGGGGGAAAACAAAGCCCCCACGUGGAAUGGGAAUAAUCCCCUAAAACUAAGAGAGACAUCUCUAAGCCGCAGAACAUCUGACCAAAAAGAUCCGGCUACCCAAAGCCGAUUAACGAACCAAGUUACCCUAGGGAUAACAGCGCAAUCCCCUCCCAGAGUCCCUAUCGACGAGGGGGUUUACGACCUCGAUGUUGGAUCAGGACAUCCUAAUGGUGCAGCCGCUAUUAAGGGUUCGUUUGUUCAACGAUUAAAGUCCUACGUGAUCUGAGUUCAGACCGGAGAAAUCCAGGUCAGUUUCUAUCUGUAACGACAUCUCUCCUAGUACGAAAGGGCCGGAGAGAUGGGGCCAAUACUACAAGCACGCCCUACCCCAACCUAAUGAACCCAACUAAACUAGGUAAAGAGCGAACAACACACAACCCAAGAUAAGAGUU